UACGUAGGGGGCAAGCGUUAUCCGGAUUUACUGGGUGUAAAGGGAGCGUAGACGGCGAUGCAAGCCAGAUGUGAAAGCCCGGGGCUCAACCCCGGGACUGCAUUUGGAACUGUGUGGCUGGAGUGUCGGAGAGGCAGGCGGAAUUCCUAGUGUAGCGGUGAAAUGCGUAGAUAUUAGGAGGAACACCAGUGGCGAAGGCGGCCUGCUGGACGAUGACUGACGUUGAGGCUCGAAAGCGUGGGGAGCAAAUAGG
rnacentral:rRNA from 1 species